CUUGAGCUAUGCCCUCGAAACUGUGCUCAGCAAGCAGUUCCCUGGCAACCCCCAGGAUGUGCUUGGUAAGAACGAACUAGGCUUUGGGGAAGGGUACUAGUGGGGGUACUUGGCAUACUUAGAAUAGAGGGCUUAUCUUGGGUUAUCUAACCCAGUGUUCUUAAAGGGGCAGAAGGUGGACGGAUUAGUCGUCAUCAAAAGGCAUUUCACCCUUAGCCUAGAGCUUUUAAGUCAAGAGAUCUGUAUCGGGACUAGCUGUCUGUCUGGCUUAUCUAAUAAUUUGAGCAUCUUUGAUGAGCUUGUGCACAUAAUCCCAUGUUUGCUAAUUGCUGACACAGCCCACCCUUGCAGAGAGAAAGGAUUUGACUAAUAGAGCAGUCACAUUGAGAUCCGAGUCCAAGGCUCCCGGUUGCUAGGUCCAAUCUGUCUGUGUUAUUAAAGCCUCCACCUGACACCUCAGUUUGCUUUUGAGUUCUUAAAGUGUUUCUCUCUUCACUGGCUUAGAACAGGACUUUUAUUUUUGUUUAACUUGUUACAGUUUUAUCACUACUUGAGCUCUUUUUUUUGUUUGUUUGUUUUUUGUUUUUUCAAGACAGGGUUUCUCUGCUAGGUUUCUUGCUGUCCUGGAACUCACUUUAUAGACCAGGCUGGCCUCAAACUCAGAAAUCCACCUGUCUCUGCCUCCCAAGUGCUGGGAUUAAAGGCUUGUGCCACCACCACUCAGCCCUCUACUUGCACUCUUAAUUUUAAAAUAUGUACUUAUCACAGAAUAUAAAUAAAGUUCACUAAGUUCUAUCCCC
rnacentral:lncRNA from 1 species